rnacentral:rRNA from 1 species
CCUACGGGAGGCAGCAGUGGGGAAUAUUGGACAACGGGGGCAACCCUGAUCCAGCCAUGCCGCGUGAGUGAUGAAGGCCUUAGGGUUGUAAAGCUCAUUCACCGGGGAAGAUAAUGACGGUACCCGGAGAAGAAGCCCCGGCUAACUUCGUGCCAGCAGCCGCGGUAAUACGAAGGGGGCUAGCGUUGUUCGGAAUUACUG